rnacentral:sRNA from 1 species
UAGAAAAACAACUUUAUCAAGACAUGUUAGAGAGAAAUAGUUUUGUGUGAAUGUACCACAUUAAAGGACAGGAAGAAAAGCCAAAUGGUAUUAUUAUAAUAGUUUGCAUAAAUAUUAUUUAAUUAUUUAAGAUAUUCAGUAAAGCAGGUGAAUGCUAGUCAGGCUAAAAGUAAACAAUGCAGAAGCUUUUAUGGAAUGAUAUUUUUGAUACAUCAUGAGGUAAAGUACAACAUAAGUAAAAAAAAUUCAGUAUUUACUCACAGUUAUUUGAUUAUAAUAUAAAAGUAUGCAUCUAGACUCUGCAAAGGAGAGCUGUAUUAUUUUCUGUGCUAAUGAGGUAUUUAAGACUUUUAUCCAUUCUCUUGAAUGUUUGCCAUUAUUCUAGGAAAUUUUUUAUGACUUUCAUUCAUGCUCUGUAUUUUAAAUGUUCUUAAGGCCAACCCCAGAUGAAUUAAUGAAGGACAAAGUGUUCAGUGAGGUAUCACCUUUAUAUACCCCCUUUACCAAACCUGCCAGUCUGUUUUCAUCUUCUCUGAGAUGUGCUGAUUUAACUCUGCCUGAGGAUAUCAGUCAGUUUUGUAAAGAUAUAAAUAAUGAUUACCUGGCAGAAAGAUCUAUUGAAGAAGUUUAUUACCUUUGGUGUUUGGCUGGAGGUGACUUGGAGAAAGAGCUUGUCAACAAGGAAAUCAUUCGAUCCAAACCACCUAUCUGCACACUACCCAAUUUUCUCUUUGAGGAUGGUGAAAGCUUUGGACAAGGUCGAGAUAGAAGCUCGCUUUUAGAUGAUACCACUGUGACAUUGUCGUUAUGCCAGCUAAGAAAUAGAUUGAAAGAUGUUGGUGGAGAAGCAUUUUACCCAUUACUUGAAGAUGACCAGUCUAAUUUACCUCAUUCAAACAGCAAUAAUGAGUUGUCUGCAGCUGCCACUCUCCCUUUAAUCAUCAGAGAGAAGGACACAGAGUACCAACUAAAUAGAAUUAUUCUCUUUGACAGGCUGCUAAAGGCUUAUCCAUAUAAAAAAAACCAAAUUUGGAAAGAAGCAAGAGUUGACAUUCCUCCUCUUAUGAGAGGUUUAACCUGGGCUGCUCUUCUGGGAGUUGAGGGAGCUAUUCAUGCCAAGUACGAUGCAAUUGAUAAAGACACUCCAAUUCCUACAGAUAGACAAAUUGAAGUGGAUAUUCCUCGCUGUCAUCAGUACGAUGAACUGUUAUCAUCACCAGAAGGUCAUGCAAAAUUUAGGCGUGUAUUAAAAGCCUGGGUAGUGUCUCAUCCUGAUCUUGUGUAUUGGCAAGGUCUUGACUCACUCUGUGCUCCAUUCCUAUAUCUAAACUUCAAUAAUGAAGCCUUGGCUUAUGCAUGUAUGUCUGCUUUUAUUCCCAAAUACCUGUAUAACUUCUUCUUAAAAGACAACUCACAUGUAAUACAAGAGUAUCUGACUGUCUUCUCUCAGAUGAUUGCAUUUCAUGAUCCAGAGCUGAGUAAUCAUCUCAAUGAGAUUGGCUUCAUUCCAGAUCUCUAUGCCAUCCCUUGGUUUCUUACCAUGUUUACUCAUGUAUUUCCACUACACAAAAUUUUCCACCUCUGGGAUACCUUACUACUUGGGAAUUCCUCUUUCCCAUUCUGUAUUGGAGUAGCAAUUCUUCAGCAGCUGCGGGACCGGCUUUUGGCUAAUGGCUUUAAUGAGUGCAUUCUUCUCUUCUCCGAUUUACCAGAAAUUGACAUUGAACGCUGUGUGAGAGAAUCUAUCAACCUGUUUUGUUGGACUCCUAAAAGUGCUACUUACAGACAGCAUGCUCAACCUCCAAAGCCAACUUCUGACAGCAGUGGAGUCAGAAGUUCGGCACCUUAUUUCUCUGCUGAGUGUCCGGAUCCUCCAAAGACAGAUCUGUCAAGAGAAUCCAUCCCAUUAAAUGACCUAAAGUCAGAAGUAUCACCACGGAUUUCAGCAGAGGACCUGAUUGACUUGUGUGAGCUCACAGUGACAGGCCACUUCAAAACACCCACCAAGAAAACGAAGUCCAGUAAACCAAAGCUCCUGGUGGUUGACAUCCGGAAUAGUGAAGACUUUAUUCGUGGUCACAUUUCAGGAAGCAUCAACAUUCCAUUCAGUGCUGCCUUCACUGCAGAAGGGGAGCUUACCCAGGGCCCUUACACUGCUAUGCUCCAGAACUUCAAAGGGAAGGUCAUUGUCAUCGUGGGGCAUGUGGCAAAGCACACAGCUGAGUUUGCAGCUCACCUUGUGAAGAUGAAAUAUCCAAGAAUCUGUAUUCUAGAUGGUGGCAUUAAUAAAAUAAAGCCAACAGGCCUCCUCACCAUCCCAUCUCCUCAAAUAUGAAGAACCAAGAGUGUGACUGCCAAAACUCAGUGUUGCAUCAGCACCAACAGCACAGUUCUUCAUAUCCACGCCACUCUCAGACAAAACUAGAUGUCCAGAUUGUUGCAUUUCCAUAAAGUUUGUCACGAGACAUUUUUUAAAAUCUCAUAACCCACAUGUUCAGCUAUCCAUGCAAGAAACUUGACUCUACGUGUAUUGCUGAAAGAAUUUUCUUAACAGUGAAAUCUGAUCAUAUAUUUUUACCACACUGCCACAUAAAGCCCAAGAAAUUCAGCUUACAAGACAGAUUUAGCAUUAUCAAGAAAUCCCAGUUGCCCUGAAAAAGCUGUCCUCCAUUGUACUGAACAGACAGUCCUGUUGAUUGUAUUAUUUAGAAACAUACACUGAAUGUGGGCUGAAAUCCUCAUCUUUCCAUAAUGAAAAUUGAGAAACUAUUCACAAUGCUUUCCUUAUAAAUAAAUGCUACAUUUAGUAACUCAUUUCACCCAAAC